rnacentral:rRNA from 1 species
AGAGUUUGAUCCUGGCUCAGAAUCAACGCUGGCGGCGUGCCUAACACAUGCAAGUCGAACGAGAAAGUGGAGCAAUCCAUGAGUUCAGUGGCGACCGGGUGAGUAACACGUGACUAACCUACCCUCGAGUGGGGGAUAACUCCGGGAAACCGGCGCUAAUACCGCAUAACAUCGCGAGGUGAAAUUCCUUGUGAUCAAAGGAGCAAUUCGCUUGAGGAGGGAGUCGCGUCUGAUUAGCAAGUUGGUGAGGUAACGGCCCACCAAGGCAAUGAUCAGUAGCCGGCCUGAGAGGGCGCACGGCCACACUGGAACUGAAACCCGGUCCAGACUCCUACGGGAGGCAGCAGUGGGGAAUUUUGCGCAAUGGGGGAAACCCUGACGCAGCAACGCCGCGUGGAAGAUGAAGUCCUUUGGGAUGUAAACUCCUUCGACCGGGAAGAUUAUUACGUUCCAAAGAAGGACCCCCCA